rnacentral:rRNA from 1 species
ACGCACGCUGGCGGCGUGCUUAACACAUGCAAGUCGAACGGAAAGGCCCUGCUUGCAGGGUACUCGAGUGGCGAACGGGUGAGUAACACGUGGGUGAUCUGCCCUGCACUUCGGGAUAAGCCUGGGAAACUGGGUCUAAUACCGGAUAGGAGCCAUUUUUAGUGUGAUGGUUGGAAAGUUUUUUUCGGUGUAGGAUGAGCUCGCGGCCUAUCAGCUUGUUGGUGGGGUAAUGGCCUACCAAGGCGGCGACGGGUAGCCGGCCUGAGAGGGUGGACGGCCACAUUGGGACUGAGAUACGGCCCAGACUCCUACGGGAGGCAGCAGUGGGGAAUAUUGCACAAUGGGCGCAAGCCUGAUGCAGCGACGCCGCGUGGGGGAUGACGGCCUUCGGGUUGUAAACUCCUUUCGCUAGGGACGAAGCUUUUUGUGACGGUACCUAGAUAAGAAGCACCGGCUAACUACGUG